UAAGUGCUUCCAUGUUUGAGUUG
rnacentral:miRNA from 1 species